AUGGAUAAUAAACGAUUAUCACGAACAAGGAAAUAUAAUAAUAACCAAUUUAUUAUUGCCUCUAGGGCAUAUUUCCAACACGUUUGUUCUCUUACACGUGAAAAUCCUAUAACUAUUGAAUUUGACGAAGUGGGUUUUUCUGUCAAGGACGCCCGUACCCGGAUGGUGCUCCACCGAUGUGACAGCCCGGAUGGCCUCUACCCGGUGAACUCCACCGCCACUUCCACAUCCGCUCCGGUCGCUCUCUCCGCCAUGGUGGACCUUUGGCAUGCUCAGCUGGGACAUCCGAACCCGGCCACCCUUCGUCAUAUUCUUAGGACUUUUUCAUCCACAUGUAAUAAAACCGAUGAUCAUACUUGUCAUGCUUGUCGUCUUGGCAAGCAUGUCCAUCUUCCGUUUAGCGCGUCCUCAUUGGUGGCGUCGUAUCCAUUUGAGUUGAUUCAUAGUGAUUUGUGGACAUCUCCUGUUGCCAGUAAUACGGGUUUUUUAUACUGUCUUGUCCUACUUGAUGAUUUUUCGCACUACGUGUGGACCUUCCCGUUGCGGAGAAAAAUCCGAUGCACUCUCCGUUCUCACCACCUUUUACUCCUAUGUCGCUACGCAGUUUGGGCGUCCCAUUCAUGCCUUGCAGACUGA
rnacentral:rRNA from 1 species